CCCAGGGAGCACGGGCAAAUUGUUUGCACCUGUGCUCCCCCGGUGACCAGAAGGGGUGAACCAAUGGUGGAGCCCCAUUGGGCUCAUAUAAGGGCUGGUCACUGAAGAGGCUGCCUCCUGAGGAAGAGUGCUGCGUAGUCAGAGGUCUUCACCAGUUGGCAUGCAAACGUAUUUAACAGCGUGACUGAGUUGCAGAAAGAGAUGAGCAAGAGGAAGAUUUCAGGAAUUUGCAAAGUGACUCCUGCAGACUGGUGAUGGGAACAGGGGCUUGAGCAUUAAGGCAUUUCUAGGGAUGGCAGAGAUGUAGGAUUUUUCCAGGUAUAAUGAAGAAUUCCUUUAAACCUAAGAACACUGCAUCCUGAAGGAGGAAUUUAAAUUUGUUUCUUCAAUGACAUCAUCUAUUGGCAGCCUUUGACAUAAAUCUGCUCUUCCUCAGAACUCAGACUGUCCUUGCAGAAGAGCUUGUUCUGUAACUAUUUGAUCUGUGUGCAGACUUCAAGGGAGGAAAGCUGCCUGCCACCUGCUUUCCAAGGAACUGCCAGUUUUGCCUGGAGAAAAUAGCCCAUCUGCUAAGUUUCAUUCUUCAGCCCAGGUUACUGGUGAAGACUUUAUAUGUACAUCCUUGUUUUUAAUACUUCCAGCUGUUCAUUCUUCCCAUGAAAGGAAAUCCCUGGGUAGAGACAUAACAAUCCUGAAGAUGUGUUUAACAAGGUGCUGCCAGUGAACUCUGAGAAAGUUUCAUCUGUUACAAAAGAGGAGGACUAAAACUGAGCUGGUUGGCUGGAUGAUUGAAGGGGACAGGUAGCAUCUGCAUAUUUUCAGUCUGAGUAAUUCAAAUGCUCCUUUGAAAGCCAUCACUCCCGGUGGACUUUGUAGCAGUCUCUGGAAAUGGAACUGGGACUUUCAGUGAGAAGGACCUGAUAGCACAACAUAGCCACAAACUGAUUUGGUUUUGAAUGAAAGCAUGCUAGAAAAUUGCAGAAAAUUCCACCUGAGCAUGGCUCUUCUUGUCUGACACAAGAAGUAUGGUACUUUUUCAUGAGCAGCAUUCACACACCCUAUCUGUGUCCGUGUAUUGAUUCUGAAGAUAUUUGGUCAACCUUCUGAGGCAGGUUUAUCUUUAUACAUUGGAAGUCCACAGGAGGCAAUCAUUCAAGAAAGAUGCUACCAGUAAUACUUAUGAAAUGUUGAGCCCAAUAGUUGUCAGAUGCUGUUUUAUAACACUAGCAGAUGAAAACAGAAGUGCAUGCUACGCAGGCUUC